CAUGCCCGGUGAACGUGCAUGCCGGCCGGGUGUAAAGUCAGCUUGGUGACGGUCUCCCUCCCUGUUACAAGAGAGCUGCGGAUAAAAAAGCACUGACACUCCACCUACCUUUACAAGACGACGCGAGGAUGAAGGAGAUACUCACCAAAAGAAGCUACUAUUAUAGGAAAAAUCCGCGCUUUUAGCUUUUAAGUACUAAAGACAACGUUCGCUCUUGUGUGUGAGACACGUUUGCCCUUUUUUUGUUUUCGGUAGUAAACUUUUGAUAGUGUUAGCAUUUAUCGACUUUGUCAGAAAAUAUCGGCCACUAAUUUCUCGUUUUAAAUUGGAAAAAUACUUUAAAUUCCAUUAAUACCUGGAAGAAAAGUACAAAGACGCCCGCAGACAGUGUCCUUCUGAUCAGUGGGAUGUUUGACUUGCGGGAGCAGGACUGACGGAAGGAGGAUGGUCAAACACCAACCCCUCCAAGUCUAUGAGCGCCAGCUGUGUUUGUCCUGUAUCACUGGGAUCUACGGUUGCCGCUGGAAACGCUAUCAACGCUCCCACGAUGACACCACCAAGUGGGAGCUGCUGUGGUCCCUCAUCCUUCUCUUCACCUUCUGUGCACUGCUGGUCUGGUUUUACUUCUGGUUGGAAGCUCGCAAUGACUACAGUGAGUUCAACUGGUUCCUCUACAACCGCGCUGGCGAGUGGAGUGAUGGCACCGUUCCAAUCAUGGCCACGACCGCUGCUGGCUUCACCUACAUAGCCUUUUUAAUGAUUUUAGCACUUUGCCACGUUGCAUUAGGCCAACAGCUGAAUUUGCAUUGGCUUCACAAGAUAGGAGUCACCGCGGCUCUGCUAACAACCGUUGUCGGGGUGAUAUCCAUCAAUCAAACCUGGCAGCACGAGUGGGACAUCAUCCCCAUCUCCUUGCAGGCCACAGGGCCGUUCCUGCACAUCGGCGCUGUCGCUGCGUUCACAGCUCUGUCUUGGAUCGUGGCCGGACAGGUGGCCCGUGCAGAAAAAACGUCGUUCCAGGUGGUGGUCAUGCUGCUGUAUCUUGGCAUGUUACUGGGCCUCUACGUGGUGCCGCUGUACAUCACCUCCCCUUGCAUUAUGGACCCUAGCAACCUUAGGCCUCGCCCUGAUGUUAUUGGCCACCAGGGGGUCCCUAUGCUUGCUCCAGAGAACACCAUGUGGUCCUUUCAGCGAGCUCUGCAAAUGAAUGUCACUGGGCUGGAGGCCGACGUAGCUAUCAGCGUUGACGGGGUUCCGUUCCUGAUGCGCGACUCCAGCCUGCGCAGGACCACUGACGUUGAGAAGAUGUUUCCUGACAGACCAAUGCAAGACGCCUCAUUCUUCAACUGGACCGAUCUGCAGCAGCUCAACGCAGGACAGUGGUUCCUCAAGGACGACCCCUUCUGGACGGUGCAAACCCUGUCCCCCCACGAGAGGAACCUGAUUGCCAACCAGAGUGUGUGCAGCCUGGAGCAGCUUCUCAAGCUGGCCUCCUACCAUAACACCAGUGUGGUGUUCAGGCUCAGGAGACCCCCUGUGGGACAUCCCUGCUACAACAGCUGGAUCAAUGACACCCUGCAGGCCACGCAGCAAUCUAGGGUUCCUCAAAGUCUGGUAUUGUGGACUCCUGAUGAAGACAGGGCUCAGGUGAGACAGAUUGCACCUGGUCUGAUCCAGACAUCAGUGGAGAAACAAAGUCCUCAAAGCCUCCGAGAGGCGGGCAUCAGCAGGCUGCUGCUCAGAUACAACCAGGCCAGCACUCAGGAAAUCGAGGACUUUUCACAAAGAAACAUCAGCCUCACCCUCUACACUGUCAAUAAGCCCUGGCUCUAUUCUGUGCUGUGGUGCAGCGGCGUGUCCUCUGUGUCGUCAGAGGCGCCGCAUGUCCUCAAGAAGGUGCCUUACCCCAUCUGGCUCUUGAGAGCUGAUGAAUACUGCUUGAUGUGGGUGUGUGCCGACCUCAUCUCCUUUGUUGUGGUUGUAGGAAUAUUUAUAUUACAGAACUAUCACAUGAUCAGGUAUCGAACCAGCGGCAUGCGCAGCUACAACCCUGAGCAGAUCAUGCUGAGCGCCGCGGUCAGGAGGUCCAGCCGAGACCUCAACGUCAUGAAGGAGAAGCUCAUCUUCUCCGGUGAGGAUGGUGACGGACGCUAUCUGGACCCAGCAUGCUGCCUCUCGAGUGUCUGUGAACUCUCCUCCUCCUCCUCUUCCCCCUUCCUCUCAUCCAUGUCGAAAGGUCAAACCCAGUAGCUGCCUCAGCCUGACCCCGCCAUCUCUCCGUGUGUGUCCAUCGUCUGCGCCAUCAGCGACCUAUCCCUCAUUCUUUCCUUGUCUGCGUCCUUGCCCACUUUCCCCGCACAACCCUCAUCCAUCCCUGCCUCCAUGCUACCUGCCUGCUACCCUCGCCCAUAGUGAAGCUUUAAGGGUGCCCCAGUCUGUCUGGCACUGGGCGGGGUCAAAGAGGUGGGCAAUGGAGUUGCCGGCAGUGACGAGCUCUACACAGACAACAGCAAUGAUUAUGAUGACUACUACACUGACCGACCUGUGAGCCAAUGAUGGCGCACUUUCAGCCACAAGAUGAGGAAACAAAGCGUGUACAUUUUUUUGUAAAUAAUGUCUUUGCUUCCUGGACAAAAAUAUAUAAUGUAUAUUACUUUUGACUCAGCACUUUUUAUCCACGGAAUUGACUUAAGAGUGUCCAGAAUUUUCAUUUUUAAGCUAAUUCUCCCAAGCAGGUCCUUCCAUUCUAAGCACUGAUGCCUUUUAUUUAUAUGCACAAUCCAGCAUGAACUCUGCUCACAGCGGCUGUGUCGGUGGAUGGUAACAUUUGAAAGUGUGCAAAUGCUGCUGCAUGUAACAGUUAUGAUCAUAGUAUGUGUGUGAGCUCGGCUGUACAGUCAGGAACAAGUGAAUCUUUUAAAAGUAUGUAACCUGAUGGGGUGUGUACUGUUUAGCCUGCAGUGCAGUGUUGUGAAUGACGUCAUUUGCAAGCCAACAAAAGAACACUUUGGAGUCACGUGACAAUUAGAGGACGUCGUCUUUACUUCCCUGCAAGAAUGUUGGGGGCUAUUUUAUUGUUUACAAACCUGAAGCAUCUUCAUGUUUGUCGCUGCUGUCAAAUGUUAUGUGUGAAUAAAAGUGUAAGCUAACUAAAA